rnacentral:rRNA from 1 species
CACGGGGGAGCAAGCGUUGUUCGGAAUCACUGGGCGUAAAGGGCGUGUAGGCGGUUGCGUAAGUGGAAUGUGAAAUCCCCGGCUUACCCGGGGACCUGCAUCCCAAACUGCGCGACUUGAGUAUGGGAGAGGAUGAGGGAAUUCCUGGUGUAGCGGUGAAAUGCGUAGAUAUCAGGAGGAACACCGGUGGCGAAGGCGCUCAUCUGGCCCAAUACUGACGCUGAGGCGCGAAAGCUAGGGGUAGCGAACGGG